rnacentral:rRNA from 1 species
AUUGAACGCUGGCGGCAGGCCUAACACAUGCAAGUCGAGCGGUAGCACAGAGGGCUUGCUCUCGGGUGACGAGCGGCGGACGGGUGAGUAAUGUCUGGGAAACUGCCGGAUGGAGGGGGAUAACUACUGGAAACGGUAGCUAAUACCGCAUAACGUGGCAAGACCAAAGUGGGGGACCCUCGGGCAUCAUGCCAUCAGAUGUGCCCAGAUGGGAUUAGCUAGUAGGUGGGGUAACGGCUCACCUAGGCGACGAUCCCUAGCUGGUCUGAGGGGAUGACCAGCCACACUGGAACUGAGACACGGUCCAGACUCCUACGGGAGGCAGCAGUGGGGAAUAUUGCACAAUGGGCGCAAGCCUGAUGCAGCCAUGCCGCGUGUGUGAAGAAGGCCUUCGGGUUGUAAAGCACUUUCAGCGGGGAGGAAGGCGGUGAGGUUAAUAACCUCAUCGAUUGACGUUACCCGCAGAAGAAGCACCGGCUAACUCCGUGCCAGCCGCCGCGGUAA